rnacentral:rRNA from 1 species
CAAAAACAUCGCCUCUUGCAAAACUAACGAAUAAGAGGUCCUGCCUGCCCUGUGACCAUGAGUUCAACGGCCGCGGUAUUUUGACCGUGCAAAGGUAGCGCAAUCACUUGUCUUUUAAAUGGAGACCCGUAUGAAUGGCAAGACGAGGGCUUAGCUGUCUCCUUUUUCAAGUCAAUGAAAUUGAUCUUCCCGUGCAGAAGCGGGAAUUCUAACAUAAGACGAGAAGACCCUAUGGAGCUUCAGACACCAAGACAGACCACGUCAAAGCCCCCUAACUAAAGGACUGAACUAAGUGGGCCCUGUCCUAAUGUCUUUGGUUGGGGCGACCACGGGGAAACACAAAACCCCCGCGUGGAAUGGGAGCACCCUGCUCCUACAACUAAGAGCUUCCGCUCUAAUAAACAGAACUUCUGACCAACAAGAUCCGGCAACGCCGAUCAACGAACCGAGUUACCCUAGGGAUAACAGCGCAAUCCUCUUUUAGAGCCCAUAUCGACAAGAGGGUUUACGACCUCGAUGUUGGAUCAGGACAUCCUAAUGGUGCAGCCGCUAUUAAGGGUUCGUUUGUUCAACGAUUAAAGUCCUACGUGAU